rnacentral:rRNA from 1 species
GACGGAGGAUGCAAGCGUUAUCCGGAAUGAUUGGGCGUAAAGCGUCCGCAGGUGGCAGUUCAAGUCUGCUGUCAAAGACCGGGGCUUAACUUCGGAAAGGCAGUGGAAACUGAACAGCUAGAGUAUGGUAGGGGCAGAGGGAAUUCCUGGUGUAGCGGUGAAAUGCGCAGAUAUCAGGAGGAACACCGGUGGCGAAGGCGGUUCUCUGGGCCUUACCUGACGCUGAGGAGCGUAAGCAUGGGGAGCAAACAGG